CUUGUUUUUGUGAUUGUCUGUUAUUUUUCAAUAACUAAUGUAUAGGAAUAGAUUGAAAUGGAGAUUUCUCCGAAACUGUGCUGGAUGAAUGCCUCAAGGGGUUCACACAACCUGUUCCGGGAGUUGGUGACCAUUGUUUGUGUCCACGUUCAAUUGAGUUCAAAUUUAAUAUUUUUUUCCUCCACACCAAGGAGAGGUAUUUGGUAAUUAGAGAAUGAAUAAUGGAGAUUAACAAUGUAUAAUGAAGAUUAUUAUACAUUAUAAUCCUCAUGUAUAUAUACAUGAGUUGAUGGGGGAGGCAUCAGGGAAGGUAGCCCUGGAGAAACGAAAUCCAAACCAAAAAUAAGGUAUCCAAGAAUCUCUAUGAAAAAACUGUGAAGACCCAGGAAAAAAAGGCCUCUAUAACAUGAGAGGAUCAGGGAGAAGUAGGAUCAACGUUUUUAGAGUUAGUUGGGGUUUUGUUUGUUUGUUUUGUUUGAGUUGGAGUCUCACUCUGUCGCCCAGGCUGGAGUGUGGUGGUGCGAUCUUGGCUCACUGCAACCUCCACCUCCUGGGUCCAAGCAAUUCUCCUGCCUCAGCCUUCCCCAGUAGCUGGGAUUACAGGCCUGGCACACAGUGGGUGCUCAAUAGGUAUUUGAGGAAUAGGUGGAUAAAUGGAUGGAUAGAUGGCUGGGAUUACAGGUGCCACCAUGCCCAGAUCAUUUUUUUUGUAUUUUUAAUAGAGACGGGGUUUCUCUAUGUUGGCCAGGUUGGUCUCGAACUCCUGACCUCAAAUGAUCCGCUGGCCUCAGCCUCCCAAAGUGCUGGGAUUACAGGCAUGAGCCACCGUGCCCAGCCUAGAGUUAGCUGUUUUCAUAAAGGGCCUUUGCCCUUACGCAACUUCAACCCGUAUUAAAAAUCAGUGGUUCUCAAUCAGGAGCGAUUUUUCCCCAGGGGAUAUUUAGCAGUUUCUGCAGACAUUGUUAGUUGUUGCAUCUGGGGUUGUUCUAGUGGCAUCUAGUGAGUAGAGGUCAGGGAUGGUGGUAAACUUUCUACAAUGCUCAGGACAGCUCCCCAUAACAAAGAAUUACCUGGCCCUAACAGUCCAUAGUGCUGGGGUUGAAAAAUCCUAUCAUAAAUGGGGGCAGGGCAGGCCUGACAAGUGUCUAUAGUGGUUGUGGAUUCACUUGUUUAUGCAUUCAUGCAUUCAGCAAAUACUUAUUGAGUGCCCACUAUGUUUUAAACACCAUUCUGGGCAUAGUUGAAGCCCACCUGUCACCCAUUAACCAAAAAUAACCAUCUCAAAUAGCUAGCCUGGUUGUGUUCCUUUGUUACUCAGCUUAACAUUUUUACCAUUAGAAUGGUGACAAAGCUGGUCUUAUUGCCUGAAGAAAGAAGAUAUUGAAAUGCAUGGAUAUUAUUUGCAAGGAUGGUCACUGAAGAAUUGUUUGCAAUUGUGGAAACAACCUAAGUGUCAACAGAAUGGUUGCCUAACUGUGAUACAGUGGUACUAUGGCAUACUAAGCUGCCAAUGAAAAAGAAAGGCAAAUCUCUUUGUGGUAACAUGGAAAACAACCAUGGAGAUAUUAUCAGCUGGAAUUUUUUUUCAGAAUUGCAGGUAGAAUAUGAUUGAUGAGAUGUGUGUUUUUUUAAAUUGGUGUGUAUGUGUGUGUGUGUUUGCAUGUGCAUGCAAUUGCUGGAGAAAUUCUCACCAAAUUC
rnacentral:lncRNA from 1 species